rnacentral:rRNA from 1 species
UACGUAGGGGGCAAGCGUUGUCCGGAUUUAUUGGGCGUAAAGCGUGUGUAGGCGGUUUCGCAAGUCGGAUGUGAAAGCCCCGGGCUCAACCCGGGAAGUGCACUCGAUACUGCGGAACUUGAGUGUGGGAGAGGUUGGUGGAAUUCUCGGUGUAGAGGUGAAAUUCGUAGAUAUCGAGAGGAACACCGGCGGCGAAGGCGGCCAACUGGACCACUACUGACGCUGAGACACGAAAGCGUGGGGAGCAAACAGG